GCCUGGGUGGCUCAGUCGGUUAAGCAUCUGACUUCGGCUCAGGUCCUGAUUUCACGGUUUGUGAGUUCGAGUCCCGUGUCGGGCU
rnacentral:tRNA from 1 species